AUGAACGCUAGCUACAGGCUUAACACAUGCAAGUCGAGGGGCAGCAUGAACUUAGCUUGCUAAGUUUGAUGGCGACCGGCGCACGGGUGAGUAACACGUAUCCAACCUGCCGAUGACUCGGGGAUAGCCUUUCGAAAGAAAGAUUAAUACCCGAUGGCAUAGUUCUUCCGCAUGGUAGAACUAUUAAAGAAUUUCGGUCAUCGAUGGGGAUGCGUUCCAUUAGGUUGUUGGCGGGGUAACGGCCCACCAAGCCUUCGAUGGAUAGGGGUUCUGAGAGGAAGGUCCCCCACAUUGGAACUGAGACACGGUCCAAACUCCUACGGGAGGCAGCAGUGAGGAAUAUUGGUCAAUGGACGAGAGUCUGAACCAGCCAAGUAGCGUGAAGGAUGACUGCCCUAUGGGUUGUAAACUUCUUUUAUACGGGAAUAAAGUGAGGCACGUGUGCCUUUUUGUAUGUACCGUAUGAAUAAGGAUCGGCUAACUCCGUGCCAGCAGCCGCGGUAAUACGGAGGAUCCGAGCGUUAUCCGGAUUUAUUGGGUUUAAAGGGAGCGUAGGCGGACGCUUAAGUCAGUUGUGAAAGUUUGCGGCUCAACCGUAAAAUUGCAGUUGAUACUGGGUGUCUUGAGUACAGUAGAGGCAGGCGGAAUUCGUGGUGUAGCGGUGAAAUGCUUAGAUAUCACGAAGAACUCCGAUUGCGAAGGCAGCCUGCUGGACUGUAACUGACGCUGAUGCUCGAAAGUGUGGGUAUCAAACAGGAUUAGAUACCCUGGUAGUCCACACAGUAAACGAUGAAUACUCGCUGUUUGCGAUAUACAGUAAGCGGCCAAGCGAAAGCGUUAAGUAUUCCACCUGGGGAGUACGCCGGCAACGGUGAAACUCAAAGGAAUUGACGGGGGCCCGCACAAGCAGUGGAGUAUGUGGUUUAAUUCGACGCAACGCGAAGAACCUUACCAGGUCUUGACAUCCGAUGCAUAGCACAGAGAUGUGUGAAAUCCUUCGGGACAUCGAGACAGGUGGUGCAUGGUUGUCGUCAGCUCGUGUCGUGAGAUGUUGGGUUAAGUCCCGCAACGAGCGCAACCCUUAUGGUCAGUUACUACGAAAGAGGACUCUGGCCAGACUGCCGUUGACAAAACGGAGGAAGGUGGGGAUGACGUCAAAUCAGCACGGCCCUUACGUCCGGGGCUACACACGUGUUACAAUGGGGGGUACAGAAGGCAGCUACACGGCGACGUGAUGCUAAUCCCGAAAGCCUCUCUCAGUUCGGAUUGGAGUCUGCAACCCGACUCCAUGAAGCUGGAUUCGCUAGUAAUCGCGCAUCAGCCACGGCGCGGUGAAUACGUUCCCGGGCCUUGUACACACCGCCCGUCAAGCCAUGAAAGCCGGGGGUACCUGAAGUGCGUAACCGCAAGGAGCGCCCUAGGGUAAAACUGGUGAUUGGGGCU
rnacentral:rRNA from 1 species